rnacentral:lncRNA from 10 species
CAAAAAAUUAGCUGGGCGUUGUGGUGCACGCCUGUAAUCCCAGCUACUCAGUUGGCUGAGGUAGGAGAAUCGCUUGAACCAUGGAAGCGGACAUUGCAGUGAGCCGAGAUCACGCCACUACACUCCAGCCUGGGCGACAGAGUGAUACUCUGUCUCAAAAACAAUCAAACAAACAAAAGAAACCAAGCAGAAGCAGGUUUCAACCCCUUCGGCUGAUCCUGCCUUGUCCAGCAGGCUGAAUGAGCUUUGGAGUCAUAAUCAAUCACUUUCACUCUGUUGGGGACCAGAGGCAGUGUCAUCCUGCCCAGGCCACAAGGCAGCGGCAGAGAGCGUCACACCUCAGCUGGUGCGAUUCUGCGUGCAGCCCCAGGCUCAGUAGGUGCCAACCCCAAUGGCCACUACAGGGUUGCUGGCUUAGCCCUGGGAUCCCGCACACGCCCACCGUGAGGUAGCCUAGUGUGUCUUGCUCCAGCUGAUGCACUUCCACCCCUGGUCCCCGGGGGGCAUCAGGGACAAGUCUCUCUGGUUUGCAGAAGCCAAGUUACUCUGGGGCAGGAGCUGGGAUGGUGUAAGGGGGUAGUGGGCGUCCGUGGGCCGUGCAGAUUUCGGCCCUGGGCUGGGUAAAGCAAGCUUAUGCUGCACCUGUCCCCUGGGGCUGUUCUAUCCAGUGCUCCUCUCCAUAAUCCUUUACUGAUGGCGCCAGGCUGGGCUUCUGGGGCCCCUACAGGAUGGUCAAUGGGGGCUGGCUCUGGGUCCGCGAAGCAUUCUGUGCUCUGAUGGGAAGACUUAAAGGGAAACAAAGGGACCUCUGAAGAGUAUGAAUCACAUUAUUGGCACGGACUCCAGCAGAGAGCAAAGGAGAGAGGCUGAGGAAGAGUUUGA